GAUGAACGCUAGCUACAGGCUUAACACAUGCAAGUCGAGGGGCAGCAUGUUGGUUGCUUGCAACCAAUGAUGGCGACCGGCGCACGGGUGAGUAACGCGUAUCCAACCUACCCUUGUCCAUCGGAUAACCCGUCGAAAGGCGGCCUAACACGAUAUGCGGUUCACAGCAGGCAUCUAACGUGAACGAAAUGUGAAGGAGAAGGAUGGGGAUGCGUCUGAUUAGCUUGUUGGCGGGGUAACGGCCCACCAAGGCAACGAUCAGUAGGGGUUCUGAGAGGAAGGUCCCCCACAUUGGAACUGAGACACGGUCCAAACUCCUACGGGAGGCAGCAGUGAGGAAUAUUGGUCAAUGGACGAGAGUCUGAACCAGCCAAGUAGCGUGCAGGAUGACGGCCCUAUGGGUUGUAAACUGCUUUUAUAGGGGGAUAAAGUGUGCCACGUGUGGCAUAUUGCAGGUACCCUAUGAAUAAGGACCGGCUAAUUCCGUGCCAGCCGCCGCAGUAAAAC
rnacentral:rRNA from 1 species